UACGAAGGGGGCUAGCGUUACUCGGAUUGACUGGGCGUAAAGGGCGCGUAGGCGGUUUGUACAGUCAGACGUGAAAUUCCUGGGCUCAACCUGGGGGCUGCGUUUGAUACGUGCAGACUUGAGUUCGGAAGAGGGUCGUGGAAUUCCCAGUGUAGAGGUGAAAUUCGUAGAUAUUGGGAAGAACACCGGUGGCGAAGGCGGCGACCUGGUCCGAUACUGACGCUGAGGCGCGAAAGCGUGGGGAGCGAACAGG
rnacentral:rRNA from 1 species